GACAGAGGGUGCAAACGUUGUUCGGAAUUACUGGGCGUAAAGCGAGUGUAGGCGGUUUCCUAAGUCGGAUGUGAAAGCCCCGGGCUCAACCCGGGAAGUGCACUCGAGACUGGGAGGCUAGAGUAUCGGAGAGGUUGGUGGAAUUCUCGGUGUAGAGGUGAAAUUCGUAGAUAUCGAGAGGAACACCGGUGGCGAAGGCGGCCAACUGGACGAAUACUGACGCUGAGACUCGAAAGCGUGGGGAGCAAACAGG
rnacentral:rRNA from 1 species